GAGAGCCGUAUGCGGUGAAAGCCGCACGUACGGUUCGGAGGGGAGAAACGUCAGCUGUGGCUGACGUCUCUUACCCUAAC
rnacentral:ncRNA from 1 species